AUGCUCACUUCUGCAGCACAGAUACUAAAAUUGGAAUGAUACAGAGAAGGUUAGCAUGGCCUCUGUGCAAGGAUAACACACACACAAGAAAUAUAGGAGGUGUUUUA
ensembl:snRNA U6 U6 spliceosomal RNA